CACGUAGGGCGCAAGCGUUGUCCGGAAUUAUUGGGCGUAAAGAGCUCGUAGGCGGUCUGUUGCGUCCGCUGUGAAAACUCGGGGCUUAACCCCGAGCCUGCAGUGGAUACGGGCAGACUAGAGGUAGGUAGGGGAGAACGGAAUUCCCGGUGUAGCGGUGAAAUGCGCAGAUAUCGGGAAGAACACCCGUGGCGAAGGCGGCUACUCUGGGACGGUACUGGACGCUGAGACGCGAAAGCGUGGGGAGCGAACAGG
rnacentral:rRNA from 1 species